rnacentral:lncRNA from 1 species
CUGAGUUCUCUGUCAGGUUUUUCUCCAAGUUUUGUCUAGGGUUUUGUUCCAAGGAAACCUUAGAGUAUUUUGCUUCUCUUCCUUCUUCUGUCUGUCCUGUUUCAAUGAAACUCUAGUAUUUAUAGGCUAAUAUUGGUAGCUUAGUGGGCUUUUGAGAGAGGUCCAAGUUUGAGAUUUUUUUUCUUUUUAUUUAUUUAUUUAUUUAAUUAAAAUUUGUUUUUAUUUCAUUUUUUUUUUAAAUAAAGUUUCUUGGAUCUGAUUCUGAUUGACAUGAUGAAAUGCAAUGUAUCUA